GUGAGGAAUAUUGGUCAAUGGGCGGGAGCCUGAACCAGCCAAGUCGCGUGAAGGAAGAAGAAUCUAUGGUUCGUAAACUUCUUUUGCAGGGGAAUAAAGUGCAGGACGUGUCCUGUUUUGUAUGUACCCUGAGAAUAAGGAUCGGCUAACUCCGUGCCAGCAGCCGCGGUAAUACGGAGGAUCCGAGCGUUAUCCGGAUUUAUUGGGUUUAAAGGGUGCGUAGGUGGUUUGAUAAGUCAGCGGUGAAAGUUUGCAGCUUAACUGUAAAAAUGCCGUUGAAACUGUCGGACUUGAGUGUAAAUGAGGUAGGCGGAAUGCGUGGUGUAGCGGUGAAAUGCAUAGAUAUCACGCAGAACUCCGAUUGCGAAGGCAGCUUACUAAGCUACAACUGACACUGAAGCACGAAAGCGUGGGGAUCAAACAGGAUUAGAUACCCCUGUAGUCC
rnacentral:rRNA from 1 species